GACGAACGCUGGCGGCGUGCUUAACACAUGCAAGUCGAACGGAAAGGCCCUGCUUUUGUGGGGUGCUCGAGUGGCGAACGGGUGAGUAACACGUGAGUAACCUGCCCUUGACUUUGGGAUAACUUCAGGAAACUGGGGCUAAUACCGGAUAGGAGCUCCUGCUGCAUGGUGGGGGUUGGAAAGUUUCGGCGGUUGGGGAUGGACUCGCGGCUUAUCAACUUGUUGGUGGGGUAGUGGCUUACCAAGGCUUUGACGGGUAGCCGGCCUGAGAGGGUGACCGGCGACAUUGGGACUGAGAUACGGCCCAGACUCCUACGGGAGGCAGCAGUGGGGAAUAUUGCACAAUGGGCGGAAGCCUGAUGCAGCAACGCCGCGUGCGGGAUGACGGCCUUCGGGUUGUAAACCGCUUUCGCCUGUGACGAAGCGUGAGUGACGGUAAUGGGUAAAGAAGCACCGGCUAACUACGUG
rnacentral:rRNA from 1 species